CUGGAACGAAAGGAUCCUGAUCGAAUGCUGACAUCAUGCGAUCGCUGCUUGGCCUAGCUGAGCCCACAAAUGAUAUGUCGCUCUCACCCAUUGAAAGCUCUCCAUACGACCGAUUAGCUUUGCCUCUGGUGAAAGGGGGAGGGGCGAAUGGAUUCAGUAGUGUUGCAUAGCACUGUGAAGAAAUAGGAGGAAGAUUGUGAAAAAGACAGACCUCGUCCUCCAUGGAGCUGUGCGUUGCGUGAAUCAUGCAGGCUACCCGAGUUAUGAAGUGAACGCUCUCUUUGAGGGGGAAUUGACGGAGAUCUGCAUGACGCCACCUUCCCUUUGGAGAUGACGUAGACAGUGCAGUAGUCUGGCACCAUUUUCGUCACGCUGCCUGGGAUAUCAACAGUCUUGAAUCUUCUGUGCCAAGAGUUUUGAAAUCUGUUACCUGACAAAGCCAUUCUUGGGUGAGGAACCGAUCACCAGUGUCUCGAUGGAGUUGUUCUUGAUGUACUCGCUCAGGGCCUUUGCUACGUCCGAGUCUUCUAGUAUCACUUCAUGCACUUGAAUCUGAGCCAAGAAUUCGUAAGCAGCGGAAAGGAAGGAACAGGUCUUUCGCAGACUCGUUGUCAGAGAAACUCAUUCGACCUCCCACUGAAUCAUCAUCAUAAGAGGUCACAAUUAGAUUUAUAUCUUUGCAUCUUUAAUAACAUAGAUAGGUAUGUAUAGAGAGAGGGGGGGGGGAAGAGAGUACGUGGGAAAGAG